rnacentral:misc_RNA from 1 species
GGAGGGAUCAUUACCGUAUCUCGAUACUUCGCGUUAUACCCUGUGAACCCACGGCGUAAGCCGCAAUAUUGCCUCGGCCAGCGGCCCCAGGGCGGGGCCCCCGGCCUGGGUGGACCAGGCGCUGGCCGGCGGCGCGAACUUCUGGAUCGUGAUCGAGUGAGCUCUGAGUGUGGUAUCUAAAUCGUGACAUAUAUUAAAACUUUCAACAACGGAUCUCUUGGUUCUGGCAUCGAUGAAGAACGCAGCGAAAUGCGAUAAGUAAUGUGAAUUGCAGAAUUCAGUGAAUCAUCGAAUCUUUGAACGCACAUUGCGCCCGCCAGUACUCUGGCGGGCAUGCCUGUUCGAGCGUCAUUUCUCCCCUCAGGCCACAUUGGGGCGCCUGGUGUUGGGGUUGCCCCGCCGCCUGCCCGGCGGGGGCCCCGAAAGAGAGUGGCGGGCUCCCUCGUAGGCCCGGGCGUGGUAACAAUAGCUCACCUAGGGACCUAUAGGGCGCGCUAGCCGUCAAACCCAUCCCUCCCGCCCGCGGGAGGGCGACCGUUU